UACGUAGGGUGCGAGCGUUGUCCGGAAUUAUUGGGCGUAAAGGGCUCGUAGGCGGUUUGUCGCGUCGGGAGUGAAAACCCAGGGCUUAACCCUGGGCUGGCUUCCGAUACGGGCAGACUAGAGGUAUGCAGGGGAGAACGGAAUUCCUGGUGUAGCGGUGAAAUGCGCAGAUAUCAGGAGGAACACCGGUGGCGAAGGCGGAUCUCUGGGCCUUGCCUGACGCUGAGGCGCGAAAGCUAGGGGAGCGAACAGG
rnacentral:rRNA from 1 species